UAAGGGACCGUUCUGGCCGCGCCGCUCUGAGGCACCCUCGGCCUUGGCAGGGCUUCGCCGCGGGACAGGGGCUUCGCCGGCGGCCCCGGUGGCUCCCCAGCACGGGUCUGGGCCCCGACUGCCUGCGCCCUUCUCCCGGAGGGGCGGAGCGGAUCGCACUUAGCAGGGCAGGAGAGCCGUCAAGUUGCGGUGGCGUGCUCUCGGUGUGUUUGCUCAGUGAGCUCCCACCGGCAGCCUUGGGGAAGGAUAAACUGGGCCAUGUGCCGUGGGAAAGGAGGCACUUCAUUUUUAGCACCGUUGAAAUAAGUUGGCCAUGGAAGGUUUUGCAGUUGAACGCUGGAAAUGAAAGGCUGGUGAAUGGCUUGCCUCUGCCCUAAAUUGGGAACGUUAUUAACACAUUUCUUCUGGGGACCUUAGCAGCACUGUACAAACAUGAACCGUGACACCUGGAGUAUCUGGGAUACCUCACUUGGCAGGCAUCGAGUGCAGGUAUCUGAGACAACUUACCCAAAUUAGUGCUGAUAAGUCUGUGGCAGAGUCGGGAUUUCAGUUUACCAUUUUCAGCAUCUGAGUUCCCAGUGCGCCCUACUAUUUCCCUCACUGAAAUGGAAACCCAUGUGAGGCAGAUGGUUUAGUACUGCAGCACAUGCUACAUCUGCCCAUCAUGCCCCAUCUGUCUGUCUCAGGGUAACUGGAGGAGCUGGAAGUGUGAGGCCUGUGGGGAUGUCAUCUUCCACCUUCAGUAAAACCUGAAGCUCUGUGUGGUCAGACCACUGAAGGCCCUGCAAAGGCUCAUGCCUCAUGCAAAUAAUCACUCUGUACAACUGAUCUUGUUUUCCUAAGUGCCCUGGCUUCUUCCACGGGAAGUGUCGCUGUGGCUCUCCAUAGGGUUGUGGCACUUGUGCACUUAGACAUUUUGGGCAUUCCAAAGCAGGGCCAGACCCAAGGUCCUCCGUGGCUGAAGGCAGCUGGGAAGACCCCAGGUCGGAUGCUCUAUGCAUGCAGUUGAAGGUGUGGGGAAGGAACAUCGCCCUGCAGCCCUGCACCAGGGUGGCAGCACCCAUUUCCUGCAAGGAGCACAGCGAGGCAAGGAUGGAGCAGCCAGCAGAGCAUAGGGGCUCAGUGUGACCCUCAUGCUCAAGACCCAUAGGGGCCAUUGACCCUCUCAUGGGACACCACAGUCCUGCAGAAUUAUGUUCCCCUAAAUUAACAAAUAUAGUGCUAACACAUAUGACAUUAGCCCCAGAGAGUCAUCACAGGGCACCCAGCUACAACCAAGAAGCGUUUCCCCAUUGGGCGCUUUCAUACUUUUAUCCCUCUGUGAUGAAGCCUGUGAGGAGAUCACCCAGGCAGCUGAGCUCUGCCAGGAGUGACAGGUAGAAGGAUUGAAGUGGGAGCCUGCCUGUGCUCAGGCAUGUACUAAAAUGACAGAAAUGGCUUAAUUUGUACCUUUGGUUAUUUUGGUGCAAGUCCUCGUGGGGAUGCUGAGGUUAGAACAAAAGCAUUCUAUUUUAAUUUAGUGUAAUUAUAGCUUGUCUACUUAGAAAAGCUGAAUUGCUUUAACAAUACUAUUGCAGCUAACUCCCUAGAGUAUGGAUGCAGUUGUGCCAGGAUAAUGCUAAUAUGGCUUAUUCUUGUUGGAAAAGGGAAAAACAUUAUGUGUGCAGAUGCAGGUUCACUUUGCAAACAGCUGCAGCUGUUUGAAAGGUUACCACCAGGGCAGCCUAUUACCACGCUCGUUCUUGAGGCUCCUCCCUCCAUAGCAGAGCCUUAAAGGCAAGUGUGCUCCACAGCCACCUGGCUGCAAAAUUACAGUGUUUAAUUCAGGAUUGGGCACCUUCAGCCCAGCAGGUGUUCCACUCAGAGACAUGAGAAGACUGCGUGGCUGCUCUGCUGAAAUGGUGAGGGACCUCAGAGCUACCUGUAGUGUGGUAACAGCUUGAGCAGCGAUGUCGUUUCAACAGUGAACCGCACAGCUUAGUAUAAGAGUGGUACAGGUGACAAUCACAUUCCUGACCAAAAUCAGGUACCAGUCCCUGUACCAUAAAUUGUUACAGGUCCUUCUUUUCCUUCAAUGGAGGCAAAAGGAAAAUGGAUAAAUUGCACAGACUUGUAUCCCUUCUUCUGAAUUGAAAACAAAUCACUUUUCAGUGAAACUCCAAAGGUAGCAAGGAUCUGCACAAGACAAGGAACAGUAUCUUCAGUCAUUUCUGGGGAACUGCAUCGAGCAUGGAGGCUGGAUGCUGUUACUUCUGGUGCAUUUCCUCCCUACUGCUCUGUGCAGAGGGCAGAACCACAUUUGCAGCCCAGUAUCUCAUUUUUAUUCUGUGUGGUUCUAAGUGUAUAUAUAGGUGCAUCUCUAUACAAGAGAAGGCAAUGCUAACAAAAGACAUGUACAAUGGGAAGAGGUACAGCUUUUAAGGCUGUAGUUUCCCCUGAGCAGUACCCAAGAAAGUUGUCUCCUGCACACAUGAGCUUUGAUAGAAAGGCCCGUUGUGCCUGAGGAGCAGAGCUGUCAAAAGGGGUCUCCAUCUCUGUGCCAAAAUGCUUGUUACCCUUCUCCUGUCAGAGCCCAGCAGUUGGUAGUUUUCCAUCUCUAGAAAUCCAGGGGAACCUUCCACCUCGGGGAACAAGAAACUGGAGAAAAGUCAAUAGACCAGGCAAGAUUCAUACCACAUUUAUUCAAGGAAAGAAAUAAAAGGAGUACCAUAAUUACAUUUUAACUACAUUUUGCUCUCAGCAGCAUCCCAUAAAUCAUGUACCUUGUUAGUACUGUGGAAUAGCAUAUGAAGCUGGAAGUCAGCACACAGUAAAUACGUUGACAGUAAGUACAGUAAAUACUGUUCACUAGUUGGCUUUGGCCAUCUUUGGCCAUCUUGCUGAAGUCAUGGCAGCUGAUGGAUUUUUGCCCCCUUGGUCUGUUUUGUCUAUUUUUGCUGAAGAGAAGGUGAGCAGGCAUUCUGCAAUCUCUGACACCAAGCUGGAAUAUGGCACAACUGAGGGCACAAGGAUGUACGAGCAAUGACACCUCUUAUCUGCAGUGGCAAAUGGCAAAUUCGUGUCCUGUAUGAGAACUCCUUAAGAGAAAAGUUGCAAACCACAAGGAAAAAUCCUGUAGGUGGGAGAUGAGAGGGUGGGCGAUAUGCACUGGGUGGCAAUCCAUUUGAACAGCAUCGAAAGAUGAUGUGAGAAAGCCCUUCAUGCAAUGAUGCAAGCAAAAAAUGCCACAUGUACAUUUUUAAACACUUUCAGUAGACAAAUACAGCCAAUGCAUUGAGCUAAGUAGGCUCCAGCAAGUGAGCCAUAACAGUCUGCAUUGUUUCUGUGCUUGGGGAGGGGGGAUGUGAGUGGAUUCAGAGCUGCAUGGUUGCCCUAUACUGUAAUGUACCCUACCCAGUACUGUAGCCUUUUGUGUAAAAGGAUGAGCUAAACAGUUGUUUUGCAAAGGGGGGGGGCCGUUUGCACCACAGCAGCAAGUCAGAGCAGUUCCCAGGCAGCCGUGGUGGCGGUGGGCUGAGGGUGCAUUGAUGGAGGGAUGCUGAAACAGAUAGCCCCUGCUUCUGAGCUUUCAGCCUCAACCCUAUCACAUGCACACAUCUUACAGGUUUGAACCCAAUUGUUUUCAGAGCUCUAAUCUGGGGGAUAAACAGGCUUAACUCCACAUGGGUCAACAGGGUGGCAGUUGUCUGUCUCAGGGCUGAAUUUGACACAUUAUCAGCCAGUUCCCAGAAACGCUCUUCCUCUAUCCUACGUGCUCAUGUUAGUCAAAUAUUAUUCUUCAAGAAAAAUUACAGAGAGAGGAAAUUAUUUUAUCAGGAUGUGAAGUAGGUCAUUGUUAUACCCUGGCUUAUCUUUUUCCCUGUGAUAUAAAAACUAUGAACUAGAUACUGGCCUUGUAGAAUGCAAACCUUUCUUUUUUUUGUUUUCUUGCAGAAACUUGAAAAGCUUGACACAGAGAGAGGCGAGGGAGUGAGGCAGCACUCUCUGAGCAUGACAUGAUGCACUGCUGCUUGUUCCAGGGAAGGCUGAGUUCUGAUUGAGAAGAGGCUACCAAAAACUCACAGGCAAAACCAAUUGUUGAGAUAAACAUGGAGAAAACCCUACAGAACCAAAACAAAGAACAAUUGCUUCAAGCCUCCCAAAUUUCUAUUUAAUUCAGAAAACAAAUUAACCUCUAUCUGAGGCGCCUCUGCAGGGAAACCACAGUGGGAGGAGUCCCAGUUUACACACAAUCUGGAGAGAGGGAGGAAAUCCAAGGACUAAAUGGGAGGAGAAAAAAACAUGCUUGGACAAUGUGCUGCACACUGGUGGGACUGUCCCUGACACCAUAGUGAUGGACGUGAUCUAGUAACAGAGACAGAUGACCCAGUAGCUGAAUGACUGAUCAUCUCCCUCAGAACACAGCAGGGGAACUUCAGGCAAUGUAUCUGUAAAGCACCGAGUACCUUCCACUCUUCCCGACCCCGCCAAUUUCCUCUACACAAACCAUCCAUAUGGAUUUGACAUGUGGCCUCUGAGAGACCCUGCAUUGUACAUCCCAUGAUUCCUCUUUCCUUCCCUGCUGGAGUGACGGACUCAGCUGAUACCCUCAAAAUUGGUCUGAAUUCCUUCUACUGUCUGUGGCAGCUAGUGGCACCACAGGUUAUACAGUCUAAGUUUGCCCAACAAUCUUGUUGCCGUAGUACGAAGCAGAAAGGAAAAGCCCUAUCUUUAGCUUCUGUUGUUCAAAUAAUUAAAAUUUCUUUUGUCAGUAAACUGAGAAAACACAAAUUGAAAGUGCAGAAAUAAAAACAUCAUUUUUUUCUGAGGCAAUGAGAACUGGAUUCUGCAAACCCCCAUGCAGCUUUCUUCCCUGUUAACCGAAGCGUAAAUGUUCUUGUGUUCAAGGCCUCUCUCCCCUGACUUGAGCUCUUCUGCAUGGCUUGUCCUUCAGAAGCUGAGUGACAAUAAUAAAUUGUCCUACUUAAACAAGGCACCUAUUUCACCUCUUCACUACACUCAUAAAAAAUUGGCAGUGCUAAAUACUCUUAAAGAUCAAAGGCCCAAUAUGCAAAACAGGUCCUGUACACCAAACUGAUGGGCUUCUCAGGGUUUUGUUGCUAUGGUGCUAUUGCCUUGACAAGUUAAAAUAUCCCUUGUCAGUCUCCAUGGCAGCCUAGAGGGAGAAGUAACCAUCAAAAAAUAACUGAGUAUUUUCUUUGACGACAGCCACUGAGUGGUUAAUUUUUUUUUAAGCUUUAAUAACCCUUGACUUCAAGUUUGGCUAUUAACCCACCAACUGAUCAUUAACUAUAUGGACUGAAUGACUGAUUUCCAGAGGAUUGGUGCAAAGCAGGAUUAGUUUUUAGGAUUUUUUUCUUGAAGGACUCUAAUAUCUCCCACCAGCAGACAGACAAGCUAUUGAAUCCCCCAUAAGACUCCGGGGCUGAGCAGAGAGGUACUUGCAGGUUAUCUGCAUAGAAACACACUGCUCAGAGCUGAUAAACUCACUGACGCUCUAUCAUGCUUUCUAAUUUAACUCAAGCCUUGCUGAGCAGCAGGAGUAACCUGACUGAAUUGCUGGGGGUCACAGCUUAAGGUCUUUAAUCAACAUUCCCAGCUUAAUCAACAGGACUUUAACUAGACUGAAACACAAAUCUGAAUAUUUCUGGUAUUUACCCUGGUGCUUGUCCUUUUCCUACCAGGACAGCUAGUUACGGAUAAAUGCAAUGUUGCUGCAGAAAUGAUCAAAUGUCGAUUGGGCUUCCCUUUUUUUACCCUAUUCAUCUUUAAAAUGUCUACAGCUGAAACUUUCUAGUGGCAAUUUGCUUAGGCCAGUUAGAGAAUAAUGUGCUAAUAAACGAAAGGAGCAUUUUUCUUUCAUGAAUAAACUAUUCUGACUCAGAGUCCAUAUCCUAAGCCACAAGACCAUCCUGCCUUUAUGACUUGAGAUCCGUAAGACCUAAGAAGCUGACUCUGACUCAGCAGAGGAGGGCUGGGAUUGGACUGUGUUUGCUACGUGUAUCUUUCUUCCGAAUACAACAUAGCCAGAAAUAAGUUAGGAAAAAGCCUCUGGUGCACUGACCCUGAUUUCUCUCUGGGGUUUUGACUGCUCCCUUUGGUAUGACAAUGAAUUAAGUUCGGAUUUAUAAAUAGCAGUCUAACCACCCUUGUGCUGACAGGCACAAAUGUCAGGAAAUAUGUAGUUAGUUCCACCGGCGCGGCAUCUUUGAACUUUAAUUUUAAGUACCUCUGUCAUACCAGGGGAAGCAGAACAACACAUCUGGAACUAAAAGGUUCCUAUUAGACUUUUCACACUAACUAUUACCAGCUUUUUUCCAGAUAGGAGUUUUCAGCAAAAUGUUUUCUAAUUCAAAAAUACUGAUCCCUCAAAGCUAUUGUUUUUCUUGUGAGAGUUACAAAAGAAAACAUGCCCAGUACAUUUCUCAAAUAAAAGUAAUAAGGAAAAAGUUAUGAAUA